AGGGUUGGGGUAUCUUACAGUUGGAAACUCAGGAUCUGGAACCAUCUAAAAAAAAAAAACAACCCAGUAACUACAGAUACAAAUGGGGGUAGGUUAAAUGCCUCAAAUGCCAGCUCAGCAAACCUUUGUCCAACACCAUGCAUGGGAGUAAAGUUAGUAAUUUCCAUGCCCAUUGGUGUGAAGACAUGACCAAGAGAAUCAUUUCUUUGCUGUAAACUGUACUGUACUGUACACACAUACAAGUUGCUUGAGGUAAUAAAGAGACAAAGCACUGUUAAAUUCAGGAAUGUAAUAUGACUAAGACAGUAUCAGGGAAAAUAAAUCUUUGACAACCUGUUUACAAGCACUACAUGCCAAUCUAGUUAUUGAUACUUUUUUAUAUAUACAAAAAAGAAAAAGAAUAUUCAAUCAUGUGAAUCAGAUAAAUACCUUACUAUAUCCUAGUUUCAUAAUGUGGUAUUCCAAUUUCUCAUAAUGCAGUGUUCUCCACAGAUUUUAACGCAGUCAGCCAAAAAUUUAAAGUAGCCAGCACUUACAAAUCCAGCAUCCGAAGGAUUUGAGCUUCUAGGGGGGUAGGGGGCAUGCCCCUCCCCCUCCCAAGGAAAAUUUUCAGAAAUUAUGUGGCUGGAGAUGUGAUCUGAAACAUUUUGGGGGCAACUGAGACAAGAAAAGAUAUGUCAUUUUUGGUCAGUUUUUGUGCCGUUUUUAUGCAAAUUUGACAGUAUGUACUACAAAUACAGUUACAUUUAUUGAAAAGUUUGUCGUGCAAAAAUUGUACAGUAGUUAUUACUUGCAAUAUACAACAUUUUUCUCUUAAAACCAAUUUUCAAAGCCUCCUAUUUUCACGCCUUUUAUUUUCAUUCCAAGAUAUGCAGAAACAGAUGCAAAGAGACUCCGUCUGACUUUCAACAUAGCUGCCAUGUUAACUGUUUAGCGAGCUUGAGCAACUAGCAGUGAAAUGCAACCUCAUGAGAAUCUACCUUCUCCUUAUGAGAAUGUUGCCUUAUUAAAACUACAGUAGAACCCUGGUAACUCGAACUAGGAUAACUCGAACUUUCCCGCUAACUUGAACUGAGUCUCAAUUCCCUUAGAUUUGACCCAACUUUUCAGUCAUUUUUACUUGGUUAACUCAAACUUGGAUGACUCGAAAACCCCGCUAACUCAAACAAAAUUUUGUUUCACUUGAUCAAAAUUUACCCCGAUAACUUGAAUUUCUGGUUCUUAUAACUCGCCACGGAUGCCCACUGAGAUAUCCCAUAAGCUUUUCUUCUCAUGUGAUCGAAUUCUAACACUAGAACAAAGACUGGAGCAAUUUGAUUUUAAUUAGUACAACGAAGAGAUCACUGCAAGCAAAGUCAGAUCUGCAAUGAUGUGCUGAAUUCAUACAGUCUGCUGGUGAAGGAGGGUGCAGAGGAAAUCAGAAGCCAUGUACAGCAAAUAGAGGCAUUAGCAGAAAGAAUCUUCAGGAGUUCCCUAUGACAGCAGACGCUGCAUUCAUUUUUUGUGCCUAAGCAAUGAGAACUUAACGACCACGAUGCAAAAGGGAACAUAAAUUGAGUGUAUUAAAUAAACUUAGUUACAUUCAUAGUAUUGCAUUGUUGUAAGAAUGCAUAAUCCUUACAGUUGUUACAAAAUUUAUUAGUUUCUCGUGAAGUAACUUUAAUUUGCACUGUCUUGUAUCUCGAAGUGCUGAAAAUCAAUAAACUAUUAAUUAUAAACCUGGAAAAUUGAAUAUUUUAAUUGACCCCGAUAACUCAAAACCGGGCUAACUUGAACAGUUUUUCACUUCCCUUCAGAGUUCGAGUUACCAGGGUUCUACUGUAUUAGAGUUGUCGUAGACUUGAGAAUCACCCUGGGAUGAAGUUAUCUUGAACAAACCAGUAAAUUUAACAUUGCACAAUCAAAUAGCUGAUCAGUCGGCAAUCACAUGGUGAUGUAUGUAAACUAAAAACCUGCAGUAGCAUAAACUUACCGAUUUCUGUAUGUUCCUUUGAAUUGAAACGAAGAAGCUUGUUAUUUUUCCCCUCUUUCCAUCUUUUUGGCUUUCUACGGAUUUCGCUUUGACAUUUCUGAUUUCGCAAAAAUUUUCUCACUGGGUACGUCAAGUCAUUCGCACCACAUGCUCAUUGAGAGACAAACUUGGACAAAGGAAUUUACGAAAUGUGUGGACAGAAUUGGAACAGAAUCUCAACAAAAGUUGUAGUCUACAUUGAUAGCCUUUUAACAAUGCUACAUGUCUUUGAAUGACUAAAAUAACAUUUUAUGUUCUUAUCUGUCUAUGACACAAGAUAGCUAUUGUUUAUCGUUUCCUUCAGAAAUAAUAACAGGUUUGCACACUAUUACUGUUAAAAUUUAAGUAGCCGGCGCUUGAAACGUGAGUAGCCGGCAACAAACGUUGGCCGCUGGUGCUUCUGGAGAACACUGCCAAUUAAGAAAUAGAAAACAUGUACCAUGUUUCUAUCGAGUUAUAGAAACACAAGUGGAAGUUUGGGAGA